AUGAGGCCUUUUGGCGAAGCCAAGUCAAUUUCGGGCCACCAAACCCUGCAACUGAGGAAAAGGCCCUAUGGAGUAAAGGGAAGCGUGUACGUUGUCACACUCCCCGCCCUCCAAAGGUGCCUAGAGUACGGGCCAUACGCAGCAGAGCGACGCCCCAGGAGCGGAUUCCCCACGAGCAGGGGGACAGGAGACAGCCAUCUCUAGGCACAUCAUGACCUACAGGCAACACCGGCGAGACCCAGGAAGGUAACCCGAUUGGGAGUCAGAGGAUCCAUGGUACCCGCAGCCUCUCGGACUUCAUAUUCAUCAUUUUCUAAAGAAAGGGUAAGGGAUCUCUUUUAUGCAACGGAAAAAAAUAAUCAAAACGGUGUAAGUAGUUGGACCCUUUGGCAACUACUUACUGUUUGGAAAUUAUCAGUCAAAAGAAGAGCAAGUAAGGACGUCCUUUGA
rnacentral:rRNA from 1 species